AUGCCGCACGCCACGUUGGGGGCUGUGUGUUGGAAUGUUAGGGGGCUCAAUAUCCCUGCUAAGAAAAUAUCUCUUAGGGAGUUCGUUGACACGGAGCGUGUCACGGUUAUAUGUAUCCGGGAGUCUAAACUCGAGAGAGUAGACCAAUUCACUAUAUUGCAAUGCUUAGGGACAUCUUAUGAUGGUUUCCCAUAUCUUCCUACUUUUGAUACGAGAGGUGGUAUUAUAAUUGGAUGGGACUCUUCCAGAGUGCAGAUUUCGAACGUGGUUUUGGACACUAACUUUCUCACUGGUUACGUUUCCCUCUGGAAGGGCCCGCUUGGUGGCUAUUGUUGGUCUAUGGACCGCAGGAAGAUGAGCAGAAAAUCAACUUCCUUGAGGAGUUGCCGAAGAGAAGGACCAUCUGACCGGGCCCGUGGCUUGUGA
rnacentral:rRNA from 1 species